rnacentral:rRNA from 1 species
UACGUAGGGUGCAAGCGUUGUCCGGAAUUAUUGGGCGUAAAGAGCUCGUAGGCGGUUUGUCGCGUCUGCUGUGAAAACUCGGGGCUUAACCCUGGGCCUGCAGUGGGUACGGGCAGACUAGAGUGCGGUAGGGGAGACUGGAAUUCCUGGUGUAGCGGUGAAAUGCGCAGAUAUCAGGAGGAACACCGGUGGCGAAGGCGGGUCUCUGGGCCGAUACUGACGCUGAGGAGCGAAAGCAUGGGUAGCGAACAGG